AGAUUGAACGCUGGCGGCAUGCCUAACACAUGCAAGUCGAACGGGAGUAGCAAUACUCUAGUGGCGGACGGGUGAGGAAUACGUAGGAAUUUGCCCUUAAGUGGGGGAUAACCCGGGGAAACCCGGAUUAAUACCGCAUGACCUCGAAAGAGCAAAGUGGGGGAUCGCAAGACCUCACGCUUUUGGAGAAGCCUACGUCGGAUUAGCUAGUUGGUGAGGUAAUGGCUCACCAAGGCGACGAUCCGUAACUGGUCUGAGAGGAUGAUCAGUCACACCGGAACUGAGACACGGUCCGGACUCCUACGGGAGGCAGCAGUGGGGAAUAUUGGACAAUGGGCGCAAGGCCUGAUCCAGCAAUGCCGCGUGUGUGAAGAAGGCCUUCGGUUGUAAAGCACUUUAAGGUUAGGGAAGAAAACGUACGCUCUAACACAGUGAGUCUUGACGGUACCGACAGAAUAAGCAACCGGACUAACUCUGUCGCCAGCACGCCGC
rnacentral:rRNA from 1 species